UCAACUAUCUUUGGAUUUUAUUCGAUCUCCAAAAAGAACACACGACGGUCUGGAGUUGAAUUGGAACGAGAUCUCACUCUAAAGAUCUCGAACGACGAUGAAUCGGGAUGGAUCGAUGGAUUCGAACGGGAUGAUGGAUCGGGAUGAACGACGACGACAAAGACAAAGGAUCGGGUUCACAACUUGUUGUGGACAACUCGACUUUCCAGUUCUACCAUACUGUUCCCUUUAUGUCGCACUUGCGCCGGAUGCUGGUUUUCCGAUGACCUGAACUUUUUGGAUCAACACGGUCAAGUUGCUUACUCUGUUAAGGCAAAGGGAGUGACUAUGAACUUGUAGAAAUGGGGAAAACGUUUCCUUUUUCAACAUGAAGUCAGUGAUUUCUCAGGAAUCGAUGAGGUUCGAAAAUUAGCCGCCUACACAACACAUCCACUGUACGUUGACACCGAAUCGUCCUAUUUUUGAAAAAAGGAACACAGCUAGCGUUGAUCUCUAUGCGACCCCACACAACGGCUCAUUAUGGUGAUUCAAACAUCUCUCCUCGUCCUUCUAUUCUCAAGGGUUUUGAAACCUUAAUUUUUUAAUGUCAUUU
ensembl:ncRNA T05E12.10 ncRNA